UGCUCACUUCAGCAGCAUAUACCUAAAAUUGAAAUGAUACAGAGAAGAUUUAGCAUGGGCCCCCUGUGCAAGGAUGACAUGCAAAGUUGUGAAGUGUUCCCAUAUAUU